GCUCUUCGCGAAAGAGACGCGAAUGUUCUGACACCCCAGAUUGCAAUCCCCACUGUAACAGUUUGCGGUAUUGGCAACGCAUACGCAUUUGAAGCGUUCAUUGCUUGAUAAUCCACAUCCACGGUCGCAACGCAAUCGAAGGAUGAUGAAACUACGGUGGAUGAACUUACAAGGCGAAAACAUCUACAGACAUGCGACUUGUUCCGUGCCCGCUCGGCCGCCGACUCCUCUUCGCGCGAGCUCUCUCGCUCUCUCGCUCUCUCACACUCUCAGUCUGUAUCUUCCAAUCGCGUUGCAACCCAGUCCAUCGCGUGAAAGUGAUCGACAUUUGCCGGAACAGGUUCCAGUGCAUUUCUGGAAUUGUCGGCGUGCUUCACGUUGCGCUUCCGCUCGGAGCCCAAUUGACGCGCUAAAUGGUGGUGGAAAACGUGGGAGCAUUGUCUUGUAAUUCAGGGAUGGAUUGGAUGGGUUGGAGUGAACAUGAUCUUAUAUGUAGCGCACAAGUGAAUCAUUGAAUGAAACUAGUUCUAGUUGCUUGGGAGGUUUGACCUGAUCAGCACAUGAUUUGAUAGAACUUUGCACAAUCGGAACAAUCGUAACCAUUUGAGGCAAUAUACUCAUUUUAUUAGAUCUUGGAUAUGUAGAUUUAGGAGCAAGGACAAAUAGUUAUACUUGUUUUACACGGUGGGAGAUUAGGAAUUGGUAGUAUGCACAUAAACUAGAAUGGAGUGGGACAGUAAAAUUACAAAAAAUGCAAAAACAAAAGUUUUUAAGUAGAGGUUGGUGGUGUACUAUUGCAAAUGUGUUGUCAUAAUGCAAUGAUAAGUGCACAAGAUAUAAGAGUGAAAGUGUAAAAAAGAAUGAAAUCACUUUGAAGAUAGUCAUAGAAAUAGUCAUUAGAUUAAUAGCUUUUAUGGAUGUGAUUUAUGGCUUUCUACAUGAAAUUUAUUGUAAUGGAUGGAAGUGUUGUAGAAGAAAA